rnacentral:rRNA from 1 species
UAGGGAAUCUUCCGCAAUGGGCGAAAGCCUGACGGAGCAACGCCGCGUGAGUGAUGAAGGUCUUCGGAUCGUAAAACCCUGUUUUUCGGGAAGAACAAAUGUGUAAGUAACUAUGCACGUCUUGACGGUACCUAACCAGAAAGCCACGGCUAACUACGUGCCAGCAGCCGCGGUAAUACGUAGGUGGCAAGCGUUAUCCGGAAUUAUUGGGCGUAAAGCGCGCGUAGGCGGUUUUUUAAGUCUGAUGUGAAAGCCCACGGCUCAACCGUGGAGGGUCAUUGGAAACUGGAAAACUUGAGUGCAGGGGAGGGAAGUGGAAUUCCGUGUGUAGCGGUGAAAUGCGCAGAGAUAUGGAGGAACACCAGUGGCGAAGGAGACUUUCUGGUCUGUAACUGACGCUGAUGUGCGAAAGCGAGGGGAUCAAACAGG